rnacentral:rRNA from 1 species
GACGAACGCUGGCGGCGUGCUUAACACAUGCAAGUCGAACGAUGAAGCUGGAGCUUGCUCCGGUGGAUUAGUGGCGAACGGGUGAGUAACACGUGAGCAAUCUGCCCUUGACUCUGGGAUAACUGCGGGAAACUGUAGCUAAUACCGGAUACUUUCACUGGAAGGCAUCUUCUGGUGAAGAAAGAAUUUCGGUCAAGGAUGAGCUCGCGGCCUAUCAGCUUGUUGGUGAGGUAACGGCUCACCAAGGCGACGACGGGUAGCCGGCCUGAGAGGGUGACCGGCAACACUGGGACUGAGACACGGCCCAGACUCCUACGGGAGGCAGCAGUGGGGAAUAUUGCACAAUGGGCGCAAGCCUGAUGCAGCAACGCCGCGUGAGGGAUGAAGGCCUUCGGGUUGUAAACCUCUUUUAGCAGGGAAGAAGCGAAAGUGACGGUACCUGCAGAAAAAGCACCGGCUAACUACGUGCCAGCCGCCGCAGUAA